rnacentral:rRNA from 1 species
CAGUAGCCGCGGGAAUACGGAGGGAGCUAGCGUUGUUCGGAAUUACUGGGCGUAAAGCGCGCGUAGGCGGUUACUCAAGUCAGAGGUGAAAGCCCGGGGCUCAACCCCGGAACUGCCUUUGAAACUAGGUGACUAGAAUCUUGGAGAGGUCAGUGGAAUUCCGAGUGUAGAGGUGAAAUUCGUAGAUAUUCGGAAGAACACCAGUGGCGAAGGCGACUGACUGGACAAGUAUUGACGCUGAGGUGCGAAAGCGUGGGGAGCAAACAGGAUUAGAGACCCCCGUAUCCCUGUCUCUUAUACA